rnacentral:lncRNA from 1 species
ACUGCGGCCGCCAGCGCCGGGCCCGCAGUGAGGAGGAGAACCUCAUUUUCCUCAACACAGAUCUAAGGGGACACCGCCUCACUUUGAGACAACUUGAGGCUGCGUCAGUGCUCUUUCUCUUCAAACUUCUUUAACAUGCCUUGGCUUAGUUGUUCUGCUUGAUUUUCCAAAAGAAGAACCUUCUCUGGAUAAGGCAGAGGAUAGUGAAGGGAGGAUUUAGUAAGUACCAUUUUUAUGAGCCUCUGCACCAACCCACUGAUGCAUGGUGUGACACAGCACCUGACAAGAAUAAGUACAACUAUUACGGCUGCGAGGGAAGUAAGAAUUGAGGCUAUUAUUGUUUUCCAUUUACCGAACCACCUUUCUAGCCAUCCUGUAAAGGAGUCAUUUACCCCUGAGUUGUUGGCUAACUCACUGGACAGAGCAGUCAGACCUUGCAAUGGCUUUGUUAUAGUUCCAUCAGGGGUGGUGUUGUUUGGGAUGAAGGUACAACAUUGAGUUUUAAUCAUGACACAAACUCCUCCUCUUUCUGUUAAUAUCAUGUCUAAGGCUAUUCUGUUUUCCCAAGCCAUCUGGCUGGUAGCCCGUAAUUGCUCAGCUAUUCCUUUAACAGCAUCUCUACCAUAGUUAAUAAAUCAUUGUUGGUUGUAGUAGAUGUAGGCUAUCCAAUCUACAUUUUUAUGGUCACCCACCAAAAUAUUGACUCAAAUCCUGUAGCUGUUUGAUUUUGGGCUUUAAAUUGAUCUGAUAUUCCCCAAGGGACUCCAAUUGCAUUUAAAUGGAUGUGAGAGUUGAAAGACCCAUAAGGGUUUUCUCUCACUUUACCAUGUCUUAUUUUUCCUCCCUCUGGUUGAUGAAAUGCCAGGGUGAAAGGGAUAGCCAAUUGGACUAAAGCACAAGUGACACUCCAAUUAUUUGGCAGAGUGCCCAGUAAAGGUCCACCACAAUACCACCACACCUCCACUCAGGGAUGAACAAGGGCUGACUGAUAAGCUCUUGAAAAUUCUUAAACUCACUGC